CCCAGAGUAGCUGUGGCUGCUGUGACUGCUCCUGAAGCCCCAGGUCAUCCAGAAUGCCAAGCUGGUACGGCUGGCUGACAUCCGUGUGCUCCCCCUCACCCACAUGGAGGCCAUAUUAUCUCUACUGCAGCUGUCUCUGCCUUCAGGGCGAACUACGCCUGAUCUCCAUGGUGAUGAGUUGGGGUGCUCUACUGGAGACAGCAUUAUGGGUGGUCCUAGCCCGUCAGAGAGCAGCACAAAGAACCCAGGUGCAACGAGUGAAGGUUGGGAGUUGGGAGCACAGCCAGCGGGACACAGAUGGAAAUUCAUAUUGAUGGACGGUGUGCAGAGGGCUGUAUUAACUGCUUAGGAGAGUACGACAGAAGCUCCUUGUAAAUUCUUUGAGGCAGAGGCAGACACUGAAUUACCUUGGAGAUUCUAGAAGAGUACUGGGGCUACAUGAUAUACACAAUACAAAGAAUUUCAUUGUCUUAUUUAUUCUUCAUUACUGUAAUCCAGCCUGUUUGAAAUCACAUUCCAAGAAUUCAUUAAACAGCAUGCAAAAAGCAAAGUUCCCGAAACUAACAUAGAGGCAGAUGGGGUUAAGGGUUUUUUUUCUUCCUUUUUGGUAUGUUAAAAAAAACCUUCAAAUAAACAAAAAAGACCAAGAAAACGUUCAAAUUACCCUAACAAAUUCAUGUAUUCUAUUUGCAUCACUUACUAACAUUUUUGUACAUUUCAGGAAAUUAAUUUGCUUUUAGAAAUUGAGGUUUUCAUGUUCAAAUUAAGUGUCUAUACUUCAACUCAGUAGGUGCUUGAUACCGUUGAGCAGCUGCACAGAUUUGAAAAGCUAUGCUUUUGUCCAUUGCUCAUUAUGGUCCUGAGAACAAGAAUUGAGAGGGGCCUCCCAGUCUUCCUCUCUGCAUUUACUGUUAAUACCUUCAAAUUUAGAAAUUGAUGCCACUGAAUCACUUCCUCUAGCUUAUUUUUUCAUGCUGAUGCUCUCCUGCUGACUUUUCUUUCUCUGGACUUAUGCUCUGGAAUUUACAGAUUUGUAGACGUUAAUGCUGUUGACAACAGGCAGAGUUACUCUGAUCCUCACUACUUUAUC